UACCUUAGUCAGUGCUGAGCAUUGACGUACGUGGAUGGACAGAAAAGUACUUCUAGAAGAAAUAUUAACAGAAGGGUAUAUUUGGCCGUCAACGCGUACCACCCUAUUUGAGGACCUUCGUCCCAUAACAUCUCACACACAGACUAGUACCACAUAACGAUCCUUGGCAUCUCUGUGUUGGUUUGUCCACUACUACUGAAAGUUCGACGAAAGACGAAAUAUUAAUUUCAUCGAUUAUCAGAUUACCACACACACAAGAGACCCAAAAUGAUCUAAUCAACUUGUUUGAGGUCUGAAUUAGGUAACCUAGUACUGCGACACUCUGCCUCUCCGAGCAUCAACAUUCUUCUCCAAAAGAGAACACAUUUGGUCAUCUCGACCACAACAAAACUUCAACCUCCUGCUUCACAUUAACUCCAAAUUUGAACAAGGUACAGAAAAGUAAAAAGGUACGAUCGGGUAAGGAACUGCCAUCGGUUACACUUUGGUCUGACAGUCUUGGUCUGACAGCUUUAUCAUGGAUUUUGGUCUGUGUAGGGAUUAUGGGUUGCAGGAUUGAAUAUUUAAAAAAAAUAUUAAAUGAGUAUUUAUUAUAAGAUUGAUAUAAUUCAUAAAUAAGAGUUAAGAGCGCAACAAAAAGUGCGCACCUUCAUGAAUAUUGCCUUGUUAGCUGAUUGUGGAUUGAGUGCGAGAGCGCGCUAGCGAACUGCGAGAGAAAACAACGAGCGAGAAAACACCGAGAUGCGCGCGACCGGCGAAAGAGAGAAUGAAGAUUGUCAAAUCAGUUUUGUGAUUAAUUUCUGUGGAAUAAGACGUGUUGUUUGUUAAUUGCAAAAUGUCUGUGUUUUUAUUAUUAAGGAAAGUCCCCGAUCACGACAAUGGCACAGUCCGGUAAGUCGAACCUUUUGAUUCAUGAAAGAUCAUUUGUUUUGCUUGAAUUGUUGUGUUGUGAAAUCCAACAGUUUUGUUUACCUGCCAGGAUGCAGGUCCAAAGUUUCGCUUUGUUGUUUUACCUUUGUUUUGAAACAGGUAGAUUUUUGCUUGAACUUGUUAUUUGAAAUUGAUAAAAGGCAUAAAACUAUCUGCGAUAAUUGGGUCCUAAAAUGAAGCUUAGAUUGCUGAUAUUAUUGUUUACAGCGAUUAAGCUUAUUUUUCUGAGUACGAUGACCCUUUGUACGACCACAUAGAGUUUAAAAUGGAUUUUUAAAUCAAUUUUGAAAAAUUAAUCUCGCGGUCCUUCUUGACAGAAAAGCUCCUACUUGACAGCUCGUUCCAAGGGGACCAUAGUUAAUAAAUCGAAAAAAUGUUGUCUUGUCAAAAAAAAAAAUUUGCGUUAAAAUGAAAAAAAGUGAUCAGAAAUGGUUUUUAAUCGUGUUUUUUAACGUUGUACAUAAAAAUUUACAUAGGGCUUUAGUACCCAAUUGACGGUCUUGAAUUUAAUGAAUGAUUUGCUUGUUGUUGUGAUAUUGGGAACGAAUGUUUUGUUUUUAAGUACACUGAGCAAAACUUACACAGCUCAACGAAGUGUUCUACACAUGAUCUGGCCCUGCUGUACAGAGCACUCAAAUAUCAAUCGCAAAACACUUGAAAUUUCGGUGAUUGGCCACGAAAUAAUGUCAAUAGCCAAACACUUGAAUUUUAAAUGGCGUUGAAAAAAAAAAGUACGUACAAGCGAUUUACAGGUUCUCGCUUGCUAGUCGUGCACGCUACCGGCCAGUUGAAGACGGGAGUGUUUUUUGUGCUAUUGGUUCUUGCCUCGCUUCUAGCCUUCGAUGAAAGUCGCGUAAAAAUCAAUCAGUGAAAUACAUUAAAUUCAUUUGG